rnacentral:lncRNA from 1 species
AAUAUUAUAAUCUCAAAUCAGAUUUUUUUUGAUGGAUUCUUGAUAGUAGAUGUUAAGAAAAGGUGUUUUGGAUGGAUUUAUUAGUUGAUAUAGCUUGGUUUUGCCAUAGAGAACUUAGGAAAAACCUAUAUAGGUAUCAUGUAUGCUUGUUGUGAGAAAGCUUAAGAACAUGAAAUGAGAAUCUGUUGGAAAGUAAUUUGUUGGAAGGAAACCUGAAGUAGAGUUAGUAUAUUUCUUUGAUAAGGUUUGUUUUUUUAUUACCUUAAAUAAGGUCUAUUUUGGAUGUUCUUUGAUUGCUACAGUUUGUAGCUUCUAUAAAGCUUAGAGAAGCAUGCUGGUAGUAGGAGUGAACUUAGGCUUUCUAGGUUACUAAAAGCUGUUUGCUAUAAAUCCUAGGGAAUAGGCCUAUAGGUAUCAUGUAAAUGAACCUAGCUGUUGAGAAAAAUGAAGAGUAAGUUAUAAUUCCUGAUUAAAGCUUGAUAUGUAUACCUUAAAGAAAUGAAUUUGUAGUAGAAUUCAGGAAUUCUGAAACUUUAAGAAUGAGAGGUAACAGAAGUUGAUCUCUAAUGUUCCUAAAUUAUUUAACAUUGGUAUUGAAGCCUAGGUUUCUAUAUAGGUUCUUAUAGAACCUAUAUAGAAACAGGUUGUAUUAAGCUAAUGUUUGGGUAGUAUUUAGAGCUCUAAACUUAAAAAUGCUAACUUGUAGGAUUGAGGCCCCAGCUUGAAAUUAAUCGCGUGGAAACCUAAUUGAGGGUAAAACAAACGCGUUGGCGAAGUCGGUUCGGCAAUCCGUCGAGCCUACGUGAAGAUAUUGCCAAAAGAACAUUCUCGGCGACAAGUGUCGGGAGCGCGGGUCGCGAUUCGUGGAAAAGUGCGAGAAGUGGAUUUCUCUCAUUCCAGUACCAAAUAAAGGUGGGUUAUGCUUACCGAAGCGAUUAGGUCGCUUCCCAUGUCAAAGUAAAGUAUGGUCUCAUUUGAUGCAUAUAUGAAUAUAGUUGUCGAUAUAUGAAUAUAAAUGCUUGAUGCGUAUGAAUGAAUAGGCAUAUAUGGUGGUUGACAUAUUAUGAUUGUUGACAUAUGAUAGUUAUCAGAUAAGUAUGAAUGCUACAUGCAUAUGAAUAUGAAUGCUAGAUGCAUAUGAAUGUAUUAUAGUUCAAACUAUAUGAACGUCGAUAAUUCUAGUUGAUAAAGGAACUUCGAUGUUGAUAAGUAAUUGAAAAUAUGUAAACUAUGAACCUAGGCAAGAGUACCUAGGAUGAUAUAUAGAUCGAGUGGCAUGGCCUAGUGUCAGUAAACAUAGGUCUGACAUGAACCUAGUGUCAUUGGACAUAGGUCGAGUAAUUAAACCUAGAGUCGAGUUCUAGGUGAAAAUGAUAUAAAACCUAGCAAAUGAACCUAGGUUAUGAUAUAUAGUAAGACUUAGUACAUUUGAACUAAGUUGUGAAUAUUAGUGGUAUAGUGACCACUAGGAAAGGAUUGGUAUCGACCUAGGAGGGUCGUCAACAUAGGGUAAAGUGAGUAAACCCUCAAAUUGUGGAAAUGGAUUCCGGAAUCCCAAGAUCUAUUAUAACCUUGGUAUCAAGGCUAGGGCGUGUGCGACGAUUUCGCCGCCGAGAUUGAUACCAAGGCAGGAUUGGGUGUGUGCGCAGUGUCCACCACCCGGAGGCUUGAACCAUUGUUCGGCGUGUGCGACGAUUUCGCCGCCAGAUGGUUAAGCUAGCUUGUGGAUCCUACCGCCUGUUGACUGAACCACUGUCGUGGCGUGUGCGACGAUUUCGCCGCCGGGUGGCUAAGUCAUUGACCUAGGCUGUUGUUGGGUGAGGUGCGACUCGUUCGCCGCCAGACAGCUAGGACAGGAGUACGGUGAGCUGUCGCCAGCUGAGGUGCAUGUGAGAGUUCCUUCACCUCGAGCUAGACAGUGCGCGGACUAUCCGCAAUUGAUUGACUCAAAACCGAGUCGGGUGGCAUAGUGAGAUUAAGGUAAGAGCAACCUUAAGAAAGAAUUUGCCAAUGAAUAUAGUGGGGCCAAGUUUAAGGUGUAGAACACCAAGUACAAGUACAAAGAAUAAAGAGCAAAACAUGAACGAUAAUGAAAUUAGCUAAUGAACGAGAAUAGCUAAGAAAUAAAAGAACGGCUAUAAGUAAAGAAUGGUUAAAGAUAUAAAGUAGAAUCAAGUAAUCUACUUACAUGAUUGACAGGUUUUGCAUAUUGCAUAGCAGCGAGGCAAGGUAUGGUUUUAUUUAUUGCUUAGUCAAAUAUCUAUCUAUCUAUCUAUUUGUUGAACUAACCUACUGUUGCCUCCUUUGGACCUGGUGGGUCGAGCUCUUCCCUUGGGUGGCCGUACCCACUGGGAACUAUAUUUAUAUAGUUCUCACCCCCGUGUUGUUUUGGGGGUACAGGUUGCACGCGAGCGGCGCGGCGGCGCGAGGACAGGGCGUAGCUCCGUAGAUAGCGCCCCACCACUGAGACCGAGAUAGCAAUACCCUGAUGUGAUCGAGCUCAUAGAGUAUAAGAUGAAGAAACAAAUUUGUAGUAAAUUGUAUAAGUUUUGUAAUAACUUAAAGGUAUUUGUAAUAGUGUAAAUGUAAAAUUCUGAGAUGAAUGCUUGUAAUAGCAUAGCUCGCAUUUUUGUUUUUGAUACUAUGCAAUCUGUGGUUGAAUACAGUUCCUGUUUGGAACCUCUUGUAUCGCAUUGUAUAGAUUGUGACGCCUAGAACGUACAGGGGAGGUUCUGUCCGUUCGGCGGUCUGUCGGCGUGCCCGAAUCCGACCAAAUAGGCGGAGCUCGGGGCGUGACAGAUUAAAUGGUAUCAGAGCAUGAAAAGAGCAAUAGAAACGGUUUAAGCGGACCUAGGAGACCUAGGAUAGUAAACCGUAAGGACUUAUGUUCGUGAGAGACGAGGACUUGUGACGUGUGGCGAAAGGUAAAUCGAUUGGGUCAAGUUUAGUAAACCUCUAAGACGGAUAUUAGAGGUAGAUUCAAGGUUCAGUUUAUUCUCAGCCAAGUGAGUUCAUGUUGGGUCGACACAACAUGAAACCGAGGGAUGGGAAUAAGCUUCCUUGCAUGACUUUCGCCCGAUUUGAGUUUGUGUUAAUUAUUUCGUAUUCGACCCAGAGGGUCGAGGACUAACCGAGUUGUCGUGUCAUGUUUCAGGAAGCGAUGGCACCGCGUAGGCGAUCUUCGUCUAGAUUGGCGCGAGAUGGGACAGAUGGUGUCCCUGAGCAGACUGAGGCGAGCGGAGACUUGGAGCUUCGCGAUCAGUUGGCCACACUCGUGGGAGUGGUGAGGCAACAAGCGGAUGUAGUGCAACGUCAGCAGGAAACUGCUCUGCGACAAGAAGAGCGAAUAAAGAGACUUCAGGAAACAGUGGAUCAGUUAGUGACCGCACCAGUUUCGGCCUGUCGAGUACAGCCGGGAGUUGCGGCAGCGGCAUUUCCGUCGAGGUCGGGUGAUCCAACUGCUAUUGAUUCAGGGCCGGAAGCGGAAAGAGAGCGAGCUUUAGCGGCUCUCAUGUCCUUCAAGAAGUUUGAUCCACCUGCGUUUGAUGGAGAGGACAUAGAUCCAUGGACUGUGGAGUCAUGGAUUGAUUCCAUAGAGACUAUCUUCGAGGAUUUGUACACGGUGGAGCGGGACAAGGUACACCUAGCCGUGCAUUGUCUACAAUUGUCGGCGAAGGAAUGGUGGAAAGGCGUUAAACGGAACCGAUCGCCUAGUCUUCCUUCUAUGGUUUGGGAAGAGUUUCGGGAAUUAAUGCGUUCAACUUAUUUCCCCGAUAGUGAAAAGAGAAAGCUUCAGAACAGGUUUCAGAAACUACGACAGGGAGACCGCCUUGUGAGGGAAUACGAGCGGGAAUUCUCUCGUAUCGUGAACUAUGUUCCAAGUGUGGUACGGGACGACAAGGAUCGAGCUGAUUGUUUUGUACGACUUCGGCCUGAUAUUUUUGAAGCAGUGCAUAAUCUAAAGUUGCAGACUUUUGCUGAAGUCUUGGAUCGGGCCUUAUGGAUAGAACAAGGCAAUGCAUCGGUGCAGGAGGAGCGCGAAUCUUAUUACAAGGAAAAAGAAAAAGAACGACCAGCGAGUGGGUAUGAUGGUCAGUCAAGUUCUCAGCGGACCACUGGGAGUUCGCGUUCGCGAUCCCGAGCUCCGGGGACGUAUCGUAGUCGGACCUCGGCAUGUUGUGUUAUUUGUGGGGGUCCUCACUACCCACAGCAGUGUGAGCAACAAGAUGGCAAGUGCUUCAGGUGUGGACGGCCAGGUCAUGCGCGGGACGAGUGUCCACGGGGUGCUAGCCAAGCCUUGAUGCUGGCGACGGCAUUCUCCUCUCCGGGACAACUUGUAGAUGUGCCACCUGUGGCACGGUCUGGAGAGCGAAUGAGGAUAAGGCAACCGAGGGGUUCGCGACGAACGACAAGUGGCCGUGGAUAGGUGUUCCAUGUGGAGGAACCUGCUACGACUGUUGGCAUUGUGACAGGUACGAGUUAAUCAAAGCAAGCAUGUAUUUCAAUAUGAUAUAAAUUGGUGCAUUGCAUGCUUUCUUUAUGUAUUCUAUUACUACUAUUUGUGCAUGAGGAUAGUAGUGAUUGAUUAUAGAGACCCGAACAUGCUUGUGGUGGAUGUGUAGUACCUGCUAUUGCAGAUAGGAGGCCAAAUGGCACUAGCAAAUUGCUGGUAAGAGCCUGUGAAUAAGACGUAAGACUCGUAGUAGAAAUGGUAGUAGCUGACCAACUCUCAAAUUAAUGCGAGUUGCUGAUUGCGAGAGUCUAGUCGCGGUGUUCGUGGAACUCGUGUAAGACCGAGCAUUUUGCAGGUUGUUCUAGUAGAUCGAACAGUGAAAGUGGAGUCACUGUUGCGUCUGGUACGUGCACGUGGACCUAACAAUACCUCGAAUUGAGGUCAAUGGGUCGUGCUCGUGUAGUUGAGUGCAUAGGCAAGAGUUGCCUGAUGCUAGACUUAAUAUAGCACGCGAUAGAGUCGUGUAGAGCGCUCUAGUGUUGGUGCUCGUAGAGUACAGAUUUGUUUCAGCCGUGAGUGCGUUGGCAGUAGCACUUUAGCAUUGCUAAGUGUGAAGCGUGCCAGAGGUCACUCGUAGGGCUGGUGGCUCGCACUAGGUGCGUAGGAGCCGAUAGUGGUAUGUGUGCGCGAUAGAGAGUGUCGUGUGAGACGACGUUUGCGGGUAGUGCUUGGGGACGAUCCGUGCCUGGACCACUUGUGGACUGUGGAGCCUGGGCCCAUUGGGCAGGCACAGUCGGCUGUGAGAGGCAGCGGCCCGGUACCUACGGGUAGGGCAGCGAGUUUUGGUCAGGACGGUAGUUCCAGCAUAGACCCGAGUACGUGGAAUGCCACGUGUUGGAUCGUGAAAUCGGUGAUGCACUAAGAGUGCGGUUGUGACCCAACCCGAGGACUUGGCGUGGUUUGGGGUCUCGGUUGCUCCCAGUUGGAGUAGGUAUAAGGUAUCUCAAAUGAGAACUUUGCUUCGUGAUAAUUGGGUUUACGCUUGCGAGCGAGAGGCAUUAUGUCGUGUCACGGUUGAGUUAGGCAAUCGGCCUAUAGCGGAUCGGUAACUUAUGAACCGAAUUGUGGUAUUGGUUUACUCGUUCAUACUGAAAGCGAGCGUAGUGGACCCAUUCCAGUGGCUUGUGAGUAGGGCCGUGAAAGCGAAGGCUUAGUCCUAUGGAUGAAUUAAUCAGACUUGCUACGAUAAGCAUCGAUAACGAGCUGAGAAUGGAAACGCGAACAAAGUGUUCGUAGAGACUGAUGUGGAGAAAUCAGUAUAGUAUAAAAUGAAAUUGAGAAACUGUAGAAUAGUAUUGGAAUUUAUCUCCAUCCGUUAAGUAAUGAGGAAUAAAAUGUAUCUAAGUUUCGCGGACGAAACUUUUGUUAACGGGAGGAGAAUGUAACAUAUGGAAAUUUGGAGUUGCGAUGUCAACUUUGAUCUCGGGGAUCAAAGUGAGGAUUGAGCUAGUUGGACAUCAUCCUCGAGUGAUUCGUGAUGCGUUGGAAUGAAUUUCGGAGAUAAAUAAGUGUUUCGGCGCAAAUUGGGCGCGAAACGAAAUGUAAAAAGAAUUUUCGGAUUUCCGACGCUAACUUUGAUUAAAAGAAUUAAAGUAAGGCGUGAGGAUAAAUUGUGGUAUCUCCGAAUCAAUUGUGAAGUUUUGGAAAAGCCAAGGGUGUGCUUUCAAAGGGUUUUGAAGUGUUCAGUGCGAAGUGGUAGUGCAAAAAGGAGAAAUUUCUGCCGUAUAAUGAAAUUGGAGCUGAUUCUAUUGCUAAUUCGGCUCCAAUAAUGUCAAAAUGCAAAGGAAUUGCUUCCAAAUUGGAUUGGUAGCUUGUGAAGGUCCCUUGGUAUCUUUUGGACAUGUUUGGGUGAAAUUGGAGUGAAAACGGAAACUUUAGAAUUUUCUGUAAAGAACGGGACUGAGAAAAAUUAGCGGAAAAUGCACAGUGUCAGAAAAUUAUGAAAAUUGGCAGAGAUGUCAGGAACAUUUUUAUGAGGCUAGAUUUGAAGUUUCAGAUUAUUCUGACACCUAUAGAGAGAGAAAUAGCAUCCGAAAGUUAUCUGAUGAAGAUUACAGUUCGGGACAGUUCGCAGUGACCAAACGGGGUCGAAACUGAAAUGUUAAAAUUUCAGUGGACUUGUUAAGGAAAACCGAGUAUGCCUGUCGAAUUUGAGCUCAAUUGGACUGUCGGAAGGGCUCCAAUUAAAUGUAUCAGACUAGAAUUGGAUUGAAGUGAUAAGAUCGAUGACUUAUGGACCUAAAGGCAAUUGUUACAUGCUUAGUGGAUUUCCACUAACCGGCCAGGGGAAUCUCCUCCAUGCUUAUCCUCCUUUUCAUCCUCCUGUACGUAGAGAGAGAAGGAGAAAAGAAGUGAAAAGGGGAAAAAGAGAGAAGUAAUGGAUUUGGUGCCGUUUGACGAGCCGAUCGAAACGCCGCGCACCUAAUUUUUAGUGCUUCGACACUCGGGUUAGUAUUAUAAUAUUAUAAUCUCAAAUCAGAUUUUUUUUGAUGGAUUCUUGAUAGUAGAUGUUAAGAAAAGGUGUUUUGGAUGGAUUUAUUAGUUGAUAUAGCUUGGUUUUGCCAUAGAGAACUUAGGAAAAACCUAUAUAGGUAUCAUGUGUGCUUGUUGUGAGAAAGCUUAAGAACAUGAAAUGAGAAUCUGUUGGAAAGUAAUUUGUUGGAAGGAAACCUGAAGUAGAGUUAGUAUAUUUCUUUGAUAAGGUUUGUUUUUUUUAUUACCUUAAAUAAGGUCUAUUUUGGAUGUUCUUUGAUUGCUACAGUUUGUAGCUUCUAUAAAGCUUAGAGAAGCAUGCUGGUAGUAGGAGU